rnacentral:rRNA from 1 species
UGGGAAGUACCAGUUACUUGGAUAACUGCGGUAAUUCUGGAGCUAAUACAUGCACCAAGCCCCGACCUUACGGGGGACGCUCUUUUUUUAUAUCAAAACCAAGGGGUUUCCUGUGUCUCUUGGUGACUCUGAAUAACUUUGGGCUGAUCGCAUGGCCUAGCGCCGGCGACAUUUCCUUCGAAGGUGUGCCCUAUCAACUGUCGACUGUGGCAUAGACGCCCACAGUGGUUUUGACGGGUAACGGGGAAUCAGGGUUCGAUUCCGGAGAGGGAGCCUUAAAAACGGCUACCACAUCUAAGGAAGGCAGCAGGCACGCAAAUUACCCAAUGACCGAAGGUCGAGGUAGUGACGAAAAAUAACGAUAGCGGACUCAUCCGAGGCCCGCUAAUUGGAAUGAGUACACUUUAAAACCGUCCCCGAGGAUCUAUUGGAGGGCAAGUCUGGU